CGCGUCGUGUCAAUCCAAGUUGGAUACCACUCGCAGGCGAUGGACUCCACCCCGGGCAACCCGGUCGCCGGCGCCGCCGGCAGCCGCAGCAGCGCCAUCGCGUCCAGGGGUGCGACGGCUCCGCCCCCGCUGACCAUGCCGGGCGGGGAACCCUCUGACGCCCUCUUGGGCGCCGGCGCCGGUGGUGCCGGAGGAGCGGACGGGGACCCCCGCGUCGCCCUCCUCCGCCUGGCUGCCCUCGGGGAUCGCAUGGCCGCCGUCCGGGGCCGUAUCGCCGCCUCCAUCUCCGGCGAGGCCCGGCCCCUCUCCUACGCCGACAUCCAAUCCGUCUCCUCGGAGAUCUCCUCCGCCGCCCAGCUCGUCGUCCUCAACGCCGCCUCGCUCCUCGCUUCCUCCGUCCCCUUCCCCGCCCCGCCUCCACCUCCUACCGCCGCCGCUCCCUCUCCUGCUCCCGUCCGAGAGAUCCCUGCUACGGCCGCCUCCGCCCAAGAGCAACGCCAAGAAGCCGCCAAGGGCGACGGCGGUUACGAGGUCAUGGAGCUCGACGCCGCCGAGCUGCUCGCGGAGCACGUUCACUUCUGCGAGAUCUGCGGCAAGGGCUUCCGCCGCGACGCCAACCUCAGGAUGCACAUGCGCGCGCACGGGGACCGCUUCAAGACCCUCGACGCCCUCUCCCGCCCCGGCCAGGGCAAGCCGAAGCCUCCCGCCCGCGACCGCGAGGUGCGCUUCUCCUGCCCCUUCGCGGGCUGCAACAGGAACCGCGCGCACCGCCGCUUUCGGCCUCUCAAAUCGGCGGUGUGCGCGCGGAACCACUUCCGGCGCAGCCACUGCCCCAAGCUCUACGCCUGCGAGCGCUGCGACGGGAAGAAGCGCUUCGCCGUCCUCGCUGACCUCCGCAGCCACCUGCGCCACUGCGGCGAGGAGGCGCAGUGGCGAUGCUCCUGCGGCACCACCUUCUCACGCAAGGACAAGCUGUUCGGUCACCUCGCCCUCUUUGAAGGCCACACUCCAGCGGUCACUGAGCCAAACAAGAAUGUGGCAGCAGGACCUACAGAACCAAUUCUUGAUGCGAUGGAGGAAGGAGGAAUUGAAGAAGGCAAUUGUGACCAAGAGGAGGAUGAGGAGGGCGGCUAUGAUCCAGAGUUCUUCAAGGAGUGGAUGGAGGAGCUCAAAGAUGGUGCCAGUGGCUCGAGUUGGCCUGGACCUGCAGCAACUGGACAUUAGCAAUGUUGAGAGGGCUAUCUGUGUAUUCAUCUGUCUCAAGAGAUUGUGUGUUCGACUUAAAAUGGAUAAGAAUAUGACUUGACGAGGGACAUCAAGUGACCAGGAGGAUCAAAUGAAGAAGGGCGAUUGUGAAGAACUGAAAUGUUUCAAAACUGUUAAUCUGUAGGUUUUAUCUUUACCAGCGUAUAUUCGUGCGUUCUGACCAGUAACCUGUAUGGUAUGCUGCAUCUGUCUCUGUUGCCUUCCUCGCCAUUCUCGGUCGCUUUUCGUGUGAUCCUGUGAGCUGUUGCCGGUUAAUUGGAGUACAGCGUUAAAAUGGGUUAUCCUA